rnacentral:rRNA from 1 species
UACGGGGGAUGCGAGCGUUAUCCGGAUUUAUUGGGUUUAAAGGGUGCGUAGGCGGAUCGUUAAGUCAGUGGUCAAAUUGAGGGGCUCAACCCCUUCCCGCCAUUGAAACUGGCGAUCUUGAGUGGAAGAGAAGUAUGCGGAAUGCGUGGUGUAGCGGUGAAAUGCAUAGAUAUCACGCAGAACCCCGAUUGCGAAGGCAGCAUGCCGGCUUCCGACUGACGCUGAAGCACGAAAGCGUGGGGAUCGAACAGG